GAUAAAAAAAUGAAUCGAUUGACAGCCUUAAAUGUAACAUAUUUUUAAAUGUUAGUUAGUAUUACCCUACAUGAAAUAUUACCGUGCGAGAGGGUGCUCUAGGCUUGUGGAAUGAGAUCGGGAGCUUGGUGAACUUGCUACAGGUCAGACAUUACCGUGCGAGAGGGUGCUCUAGGCUUGUGGAAUGAGAUCGGGAGCUUGGUGAACUUGCUACAGGUCAGACAUUAAUACAGGGAUUAAUACAGCAUUUUACAAACCGAAAUCGCAUUUUCAUUAUUACAGGCGUCAAUGAGAA